UAAUACGGAGGGUCCGAGCGUUAUCCGGAAUCAUUGGGUUUAAAGGGUCCGCAGGCGGGCAAUUAAGUCAGAGGUGAAAUCCCAUAGCUCAACUAUGGAACUGCCUUUGAUACUGGUUGUCUUGAGUUAUACGGAAGUAGAUAGAAUAUGUGGUGUAGCGGUGAAAUGCAUAGAUAUCACAUAGAAUACCGAUUGCGAAGGCAGUCUACUACGUAUAUACUGACGCUCAUGGACGAAAGCGUGGGGAGCGAACAGGAUUAGAUACCCUGGUAGUCCACGCCGUAAACGAUGGAUACUAGCUGUUGGGCGUAAGCUCAGUGGCCAAGCGAAAGUGAUAAGUAUCCCACCUGGGGAGUACGAUCGCAAGAUUG
rnacentral:rRNA from 1 species